rnacentral:lncRNA from 1 species
GGAGCGCAGUUUCCAAAGCAAGAUCACACACAGCGCUUUAGGCCCUGAGGGAAGGAAGGUGUGCAGGCACAGAAAGGGAAAUAGUGCAUUUUCCUCUUUCUUCUCCUUUGGCCCCUCCCUUCAUUACAUGCCAUCCUUUUGAAAGCUCAGCAUCUGAAAGAAGGCUUUGCUGAAACACUGCUUUUUCUUCAGCACCAGACUGUUUUUGUUUUUUCUUUUCUUCUUCUUUUUUUUUCCAUCUUCUUUUCCUCCGAGAGCAGGAGGUGAGACAAUGAUCAAGUCAAGCUGGUUCUAUGUGAAGUUCAAGUAUGCAGAGAAGGGCCCCACCUGUGGCAUAUGGAGGUGCCCAGGCUAGGGGUCCAAUUGGAGCUAUAGCUGCCAGCCUGCACCAGAGCCACAGCAAUGCCAGAUCUGAGCAGCAUCUGCGACCUACACCACAGCUUACAGCAACGCGGGAUCCUUAACCCACUGAGCAAGGCCAGCUCAAGCCAGGGCAGAACAGCUGCAGGGACAGCGACAGUGAAAGUGCCAGCGGAGAAUCCAAGGGCUUCCACAGGAGCAGCUCUCGGGAAAGACUCAGCGAUAGUUCAGCUCCUUCCAGCUUGGGAACAGGCUACUUCGUAAGUUUAUCUCAACUUUCACAUGUGUGCCUCGCUUUGGCAUUGAUUUACUUGUGUAAUGUAUGCUCAUUAGGAUGUGAAAAAAAAAAUCCAAAAAAUCCCCACUCGGUCCUAAAGAGCAGACUGAUGUCCAUCCUUUGACUAACAGUUGUUUUAUUUUAAAAAUGCACAACCUGCCUGGCUCUACGCAUCCCAGGUCCAUCUGAGAUGUGUGUCUGGUUCUCAACACCCAGCACUGUUGCGCCUUACCUGGCAGUGUGAGGGGGUACAGGAAAACCUGACUGGCUCGUACCUCCUUCCUACAAAAUUGUUUUGUUAGUGAGGAGUAUCCCGCGGGGGGAUGGAACUCAGUUAUGCAGUGAGGCCUAUUUAUUCACUUGAAGACCUUCCCCACAUGCCCAGUGAAUUGCCUUUUUAAUUUCGACGAGGGGUGGUGUUUUAAUGGAUGUUUUCCUUCACAGUCUGAGUAGGUGGCCUUUUGAUUUCUUUCAGCAAAUCAUUAAAACUCCUCUUUUUAGGAAAUAGAAAUGUUUAUUUCAAGACCAUAUUCUCUGUCAUUUGGGAAGAGUGUGGAUGGUGACAUAUCUCAGGGCUUAUGACAGUACUUCUCAUUUACAAAGAAGUGAUCACUGCCUUUCUUUUGUUUAUAGCUAAAUUGCCCUUGUUGGGCUCCAUAAUACUUUUCAGGGUAUAAGUAAAAAAGAAUUACACCUAGCCAUUAUUUACACAACAGGAUGAUAUGCCAGGGUAGACGUUUGUUGUGGUAUUUAAAGGCAUGUCAGGAAUUUAAAAGAAUCUGAUUUGUUCUGAAUGUUGAACAGUGAUAACUCUAAUGUCUACUCCUCAUUUUCUGAGAAAAUAAUGAAAAUAAAGCAGAAAGUAUUACUGAUUCGGUUUUAUUGCAUUUAAAUUUCUUCCCUCCAAAAUGCUCAUUACCCUGGUUUUCUUCUGCCCACACAUUUCUCUCCAUACAUUUAGGAUAAAUAUAUGAGCAUGAGCACCAUUUCAUUGAGUAAGUGUUUUCCAAACUUGGAAGAAGUGGCAUUUUCUAAAUGCUGAUUUUUUUUUGUCUUAAUCUAUGAUAUGAGGACAAAACGGAUAAAAAAAUUUUUUUGGUACCUGCCUCAUACAGUCAGCACUUAUCCUUGGUCCUUAUUGUGGUUGAAUAUUCAUGCUUACAGAAACAAGCAGGAUGCUGAAACAGGAUCCUGCUUCAGCAGUCGAAAUAACAGAAGUAGUCCCAUCUGCCAUCUCUUCACACCAGGCUGGAUGUGGGUUGAGAUGCUGGAAGUAAAAUCUGGAGACUGCCAAUGUUUAUUCUCUAUCCAAAAACGAAAUCCUCCCUUUUUGCUUUCUUCAGUAGAAGAAGGCCAGUGCUACUGACGUAGCCUUUCAUCAUUUCUAGAUGGAACAUUCUAAUUAUUUAUUGUCAGUAUGAGCACUCUGAAAGAAGAAAGUCACCCCGAAAAGCAUCAAGACUUUUAUUAUGCUUUCAGUCACUUAUUUUUCUCUCCAACUCCAGGAAUGUUUAUUUUGAUUCUCUAAUGAUGGAGUCUUAUGAAUAAAGAGUCUUUGCAAUUAUGGAUCUCAAAUAAUGUUUACUCUUACACAGUGUUGGAUGGGUAUAAAAGUUUUCUUAUUUUGGAAAAAUUAUUCUUAAUAUUUCUUUCCUUAUAUAUUAAAAAAAAUCUAGAGUAUUAUAGCUUACAUGGAGAAGAUAUGCACCAGAUGUAUGUUCUGCUCUGAACUAUGACAAAAAUGUUCUACUUAGAAUGUGUUUUCAAUAACAGAGAUUAUUAUGUUAUCAGAGUGCACAAUCCAUUGAUAUUAUUGCCAAGUCCUCAUCAAAAAGUGUCUUCUGUUUCAGUUUUCAUCUCACCAGUAUCACAUGUAAUGCUUAAUUUCAGGUACUAACUUCAGCAUUGGUGAGUUUCACACUUCUAAGUAGAAAUAGUAGGUUCACAACUUUUAGUCGUUUUAUACUGACAUGUUCUCUGCACUGGGGUCUCUGAUCUGUGAUGUCAUAAUAACCUUUCCUUGAGUCUGUAAUGAAGGCUUAGCAUCAGGUAAGUGGUGGUGAUAUUUUGACUUUAUCCUUAAUCCUCUUCAGCAUCUCUUUGAAGUAUGGACGGAGGCAAAUCACCUGCAGAGUCAAUGAGCUACCAGUGCAGUGGAACCAUAAUGUGAAUUCUGGUGUAAGGAAACAGAAGGCACUCACUCGCCUUUCUUUUGAGUUUAACAACCCGGAACUGUUUUCCUAAAUACUCUCCCAUACCGCAACAUUACUAUACCUUUGAAGUUUUCUUUCCUUCAGACCAUAUGCUCCUUUAGAGCUUUUAGUGAACCAAGGUAAAAUGCUGAUCAUCGUGAGCUAAUAAAAUAGAUGCCCAGCUAUGUUCACAAGCAUGUGUGCAUGCACACUCAUACGUAGACGUGUGUGUACCUUAGCCACAGCCAGUAUAUUUUACUUUCUUGCAUUUCUUUUCAUUGAUCAGUAGUGGUAAGUUAAAGGGUUUGAAGAAGAAGUCUUUGUUUUUGAUUUAGUUGUAUUUGUUUAUAUCUCCUUGGUUUUGUGUUCCAAAGAUGUCUGCUUAGGUCUGUCACUUUUCCAAUCCAUUUAUAAGCUGAAGAUUUGAGAAAUGAGAACAGCAGCUAAAAUCAGUAUUUACAUAAGCAUAUUGCAAAGCAUUCUUAAAGUAGACAAAAUAGAGAAGGAUUGGAACAAACUUUUCACAUUUUUGUGAGCUCAUGAAUAAUGUGGGUGUUAUACACACAGAGAGACACAUAUAUAUUCAUUACAUUCUCAUGCCCAGCUCAUAUUCUAAAUAUAAAUGAAAGUAUAGACUGGUUGGAAUCUAUUUGCUUUUUAAUUUUUUUUGGCAAGCAUGCCAGAACUUGUUGGAGUGUGUAGGAUUUUCUUUUUUUUUUUUAAGCAUUAAUGCAGUGAGCACGUUUUCUUUUCAUUUUAAAUGUUUUGGGCUAGAUUAUCUUCUUUUACAUGCAUUUGAAGUUUUUCUUAUGCGUAGUAUAUAAUUUCAAGCUUGGAAUCAUCUGAAAACUACUUGUGUGACCUUGGGUCAUGUCUUCGAGAUCUCUGAGUCGGUUUCCUCAUCUCUCCCUACCUAAUAGAUGUGUGAAUUUUCAGUGAGAUAUUUAGUGCACACAGAACAUCUCUCAAUAAUAACAAAUAAUGUUCGCUUCUGUUAUUCCCGCUGUAGUAUGUGAUGGCAUAAAAUUGCCCUCAUUACGUGGUUAUGCGAUGUUUUGGUGAUAGAAGAUAACCACUAGAAACUCAUGAUAUAAAGUAAAUUUUGUAAUUUGUACCUAUAGGUUAGAAAUAUUUUCUUCUCAUUGCAGUCUUCUCAUUGCCAACUCAGGAGCCUAGGAUUUUGUGUCUGUUCAGCUGUAUACCAGUUUGCUCCAUAUAUGAACAUAAAACAAAGAUGGAAUGCUUUUUCUGUGGUCCUUUUUGAUCAUGAUGCGGUUGGACUGAACUACCCUAGAAGCUGUCCACAUAUUAUGGUGUUUCAUUUGUCUCUUAAAGUUAUUUGUUAAUUUUCUACCUUAGACUGAGGCAUUUAAAUAAAGCCUGCCGAUAGCUCUGGGCUUUGGUCUGAGAAGUUAAGAAAGACUUGUUCCACAUAUUCAGGUUUAUGAAAUUAUGUCCCAUGUUUGCUGAUCUCUGUCACCACAAAGAAAAGUGGCUGCACCAGCAUACCUGAAUGAGGUAACUGAAAGCAGUGGUGUGAAAAGACCAGUGAAAACAUUUCAGGGUUGCCAGUGGGCUAGUGUGUCAUCACAGGAAAGAUCUGGACUCUUUCUUUCUAAGCACUUGAUUCCUUAUGCCGGUAGUUGGGAGCUGUCGUUGGUAUAGCAGGAAGUUACUUGUCAGACUGAACCCGAUCCUCUCUAUUCCUUUAUUUAGUGACAUGUCCUGCCUGCUUCACAAUAACUUUCAGCCUUCUUCCCAUUUUGAAUUUAAGUGUCUCAGGCACAUUACCUCAAACAGCUUGGAUAUACUUUUGUAAACUCCAGUGAUCCAGAGUUUUUUCUUAAUGGUUCUCAACUAAUAUUUUUCAUUCUCCUUUGUUAGACCCUAUCUGGCAACAUACAGUCUUUGAUUAUCAAGCAAACCAACCCAUUUCUACCUAACAAUUUAAAAAAACUACCACGUUUUAUAAUAAAGGAGCAUUUUGUAGCGGUACACAUCUUAAACGGGAUUUGUGUUAUCACUGUUGUCCUGUGCAGUUGAACUACUUGAGAAAUUGGGUUGGUAAUGCUAGUCACAGGCAAGAGGUACAAAAUAUUGACCUGUGGUUUUCCAUCCAAAGUUAUAAGGUCGUAUAAGGAAUAAAUUCUUUGCCGUAAAUUUUUCUUUUUUUUUAACAUAAACCCUGUUAAGUUGUGUAACUCUCAAAACUUAUUGUGGUAUUUUAUGACCAUAGUUUCUUCUUUUUAAAAUCUCAGAGUGAAUUUUACUGUUAGGUAAGAGUGGACUGAGUUUCUUUGAAAAGAUCAGACUUUAAAAAAAAUUGUUUACUUGACAUUCCCGUCUUGGCUGAGUGGUUAAUGAUCCCGGCUAGCAUCCAUAAGGAUGCGGGUUCGAUCCUUGGCCUUGCUCAGUGGGUUAAUGAUCCGGCGUUGCCGUGAGAUGUGGUGUAGGUUGCAGACGUGGCUCAGAUCCUGCAUUGAGUGGCUCUGGCGUGGGCUACAGCUCUGAUUAGACCCCUAGCCUGGGAACCUCCAUAUGCCGCGGGUAUGGCCCUAAAAGACAAAAAGACAAUACCAACAAAAAAAUUGUUUACUUAAUAGACUGGGCUUUUCUUUAAACAGGCAGGUUUUUUUUGUUUUGUUUUGUUUUGUUUUGUUUUGGUCUUUCAGUAAAUAUUUUAAGCACCAUCUCUGUCAGGCACUAUUCUGGGUGAUGGGUUAUGGAAGUAAAAAGCGGUGGCUCCUCUCCGAAGGAAUUUAGUUUUCCCUAAACCCAGAUCCUUUCCUUUGUGAUACUUUUACAUACUUUCCCCUAGUGUUUAAAUGAGAGGUUUGGGGCUGUAGAUUCCCAGUGUUACCUUGGAACCUGACAUUCUUAGACUUUAUAAUGUUUCUGUGGGUUUGAACUUUAAAAAGUGCCAAUACAGCAACCUGGCCUUGGCUGCAGCCCCACCCGAAGUAGUCUUACUCCUCACCUGCCUGUACCUGCGAAGGAUGAUGGGAGGGCAUUUUGUCACUCAGGUAUUUAUUCCUAACUUUUGAGUGUUCAUACUUAAAAUAAAUAACCCUGGGUAUUUUUCACAUGUCCCUCAAAUAAGACUCCAACAUUUGUAUUAGUAAUUAACUCUGAGUAAGGGAGUUAUUGGCCCUUAUUUAAUUACUGACAAGCUCCUAUUUUAAUGGACAUUUUUAAAAGCUGAAUUUCAUUAGUCAUCUCCAGUCAUAAUUGGGGCUUUUGGACCCACUGGUAAAGAUUAAGUUAGAAAAGAGCUCACCAGAUGGGAUAUUCAAUUCACUUUAAUUGUCAAGUGUGUGUUAAAGAUCUAUUCUUAGUUCUUAAGAUAAAUAAGAUGUAAGCUUGGCCCUCAAAUCCUGGAUAUGUAGUUGAAUUUGAUACAAAGGAAAUUGAUCAGGUCAAGAGAAAUGUGAGAACCUGGCACUAUGUAUUAGGGUCAAUUCAUUGUAGGAGGCUUAAAUUGUGCAGAACUUGAUGGAUGUUUAGAUUUGCAACAGAUAAAGAAAAGGUGGAACGAAGUUUGAGGCAGAGGGAGCAACAGAGACAAAAGCACAGAGAAACAGCAUCAUCAUGUGGAAUUGGUUUGACUGUAUCAUGUUUUUUGGAAAAAAGCCAGACUUAGGUAGGUUAUUUACUGGGAAUGUGGAACAAAGCCAGGGAAGGAGUUGAGUGAGUGGGAAGGAGACGGUUUAUAGAGAGACCUGAACUUGAUUUAGUGAACUAUUAAAAAUCAUAAAGGUGUCACACCACGUACUGAUGGCUGUGCUGCUCCUCUACUUGGAAUAGGAAUGCCGGGAAGAAGAGAUUCUAUUUUAGGAAGAUACGGAGUUUAGAAGUUAGCGUAGGUAGUUAGAAAUUUCAUCUCUCAUCAGUGAUAGUUUCAAGAGGUGGCCAAAAUAACAGCAGGAACAAAACAUUGCCAACCAAAUUUAGAUUUACAUAAAAACAUACAAAAAAGUUCGCUUGCGAGAACUUUUAAUAUGUCCUGAAAAUUCAGCUGUGUGCUUGUCACAAGAUGUCUUUGUGAUGUGGUUGUACAUGUAAUUUCCCUAAGCGACCCCUAGCAGUGACCUAGUCAAUCACCUAAGCAGAUUUAAAGCAGCCUCAGAGGUACCCUGUGCCCAAAGUUAGCACAUUACUAAAAUGGUUUAUUAUAUAGUAUUUAAUAUAAAAUUUUUAAGGACUGUGUUGUUUUCAUCAUCAUAAUAAAACAAAAACCUCGGAGCCCAUCACUCAACUUAAAAUCUAGGAUGUUGCUGGAGUUCCAGUUGUGGCUUAGUAGGUUAAGAACCUGACUAAUAUCCACAAGGAUGUGGGUUCAAUCCCUGGCCUCAUGCAGUGAGUUAAGGAUCUGGCUUUGCUGUGAGCUAUGGCGUAGGUUGCAGUUGUGGCUUGGAUCCCUUUUUGCCAUGGCUGUGGCGUGGACUUGCAGCUACAACUUACAUUUGAUCCCUAGCCUGGGAACUUUCAUAUGCUGAAGGUGCAGCCCUAAAAGGGAAAAAAAAAAAAAAAAAAAAAAAAAAAAAAAA